UGGCGAGUAGUUGUAAGGCUGUAGACAGCAGGUGCAUGAUUGCCGAAAAAGCGUAAAGCUUGCCUGCCGAGGCCGGGGAUUUGCAGCGUGUAACCGUAAAUUACGUUAUAACGCGGCCUCCGGUGUUUACAUCCGGAGGCCGUUUUUAAUUUAGGAU
rfam:Sporomusa sphaeroides DSM 2875 SPSPH_contig000001, whole genome shotgun sequence.